GGGCCCAUAGCUCAGUUGGUAGAGCAACGGACUCAUAAUCCGUGCGUCCCAGGUUCGAGUCCUGGUGGGCCCACCA
rnacentral:tRNA from 1 species